CUAGCAUAAAAAUAUUUUACAGAUGGCAAUCAUUAAAAUAAAUAAAUUUACAAACUUUAUGUAGCACUAAAUACAUGUCCAAAAUUAGCAAAGGAAUAUUAUUACCUCCCCUCAAAAUUAGCACUCCACAUUUAAUCUUGGCAUAAAGGACUCAUCAAUCUCGAGAUCUUGAAUAAUUUCUACAAUAAAAGUAAAAAAUUACGUCAAUAAGACUUAACAGCAUCAACAAUAAAUAAACAUAUGUAAGAAGUAAAGAAAUGUUACCUGACUCUAUGCUUUCAAUAUCCUCUAUUGAUUCUUCUAGUUGGAUAGAUUUAUUUGAACUUCUAAGCCAAUCUUGAUAACAAAUGAGGAUCUUUGCUGUUGUAGGAAGUAAAUAACUUCUAUAUUGUUAAAAGAUGUUUUGACAAUUUUUUUCUCAAGUUUUGUUGAUCCUUUUCAAAAAAAAAAUUUAAAUUUAUAAAAUAUAAUUUAAUAUUUUUUUAUAUUUUAAUAUUAAUUUAUAAUAUUUUAAUAGUUCAUAAAUUAAUUAUUUCUAAAUAUUUAAUUUUUUAAGUUUUAUUAGUAUAAUAAUAUAAAAAUUA
rnacentral:lncRNA from 1 species